UACGUAGGGGGCAAGCGUUGUCCGGAAUCAUUGGGCGUAAAGCGCGUGUAGGCGGCUCGAUAAGUCCGCUGUGAAAGUCCAGGGCUCAACCCUGGAAUGCCGGUGGAAACUGUCGGGCUAGAGUCCGGAAGAGGCGAGUGGAAUUCCUGGUGUAGCGGUGAAAUGCGCAGAUAUCAGGAGGAACACCAAUGGCGAAGGCAGCUCGCUGGGACGGUACUGACGCUGAGACGCGAAAGCGUGGGGAGCAAACAGG
rnacentral:rRNA from 1 species